CCUGCCGCGGACCACGCUAUCCGACGCUGGGAAGGUUUUUUUUCUGCCUUUUUAGAGAGAGGAAAUAUUUGUUUGCGCGAGGGCCCAGCUAUCUGCAAGUCUCUCCGGGCUUGGGUGCGAAGGAGGUAUUGAGAUGCUUGGGUAGGCUGCCCGUGUCUCCUCCCACUUGGAUGACCCCCGCAGCCUUCAUUCUUGACCCCAUGGUCCAUGCUCCACAUGGCAGCCAGAGUCUGCUCAAAAACUCAUCAGAUUGUAAUGGUUGGAGCUGUAGCAAUCACAAUGAAACCAUGAGACCCAAGCCUGAGGCCAAAGAGCCUACGGACUCACCAAAGAAGCCUGCACAGAAAGGCAGCAAGAACCAGGACCUGGGUGAUGCAGCUGAGCUGCUGAAUGAAUCCAGGGACUGCCGACCUACAAGCUUCUUAAGAUAGGACGAAAUAAUGGUCUUUAUUGCUUACGCUGCUCUUAAAGGUAAGUUUAUGUUGUCUAGAGCCCAAAGCAUACCUGAUAGAUACAGGAAGCUGCCACAGUACUCCAGUCAAGAGAUAUAUAGAUGUGGACUGUUCCAGCGUUCAGUGAAAAACACUGUUCUCAAAAGAUGGGAAAAUAUCUGGGCAGUUUUGGAAUCUCUGGAUGUGAA